rnacentral:rRNA from 1 species
UACGUAGGGUGCGAGCGUUGUCCGGAAUUAUUGGGCGUAAAGGGCUCGUAGGCGGUUUGUCGCGUCGGGAGUGAAAACCUUGGGCUUAACUCAGGGCUUGCUUUCGAUACGGGCAGACUAGAGGUAUGCAGGGGAGAACGGAAUUCCUGGUGUAGCGGUGAAAUUCGUAGAUAUCGGGAGGAACACCAGUGGCGAAGGCGGGUCUCUGGGCCGAGUACUGACGCUGAGGAGCGA